rnacentral:rRNA from 1 species
UACGUAGGGGGCUAGCGUUGUCCGGAAUCAUUGGGCGUAAAGCGCGUGUAGGCGGCCCGAUAAGUCCGCUGUGAAAGUCCAGGGCUCAACCUUUGAAUGCCGAUGGAUACUGCGAAGCUAGAGUACGGAAGAGGCGAGUGGAAUUCCUGGUGUAGCGGUGAAAUGCGCAGAUAUCAGGAGGAACACCAACGGCGAAGGCAGCACUCUGGGCCGGUACUGACGCUGAGGGAGCGAAAGCGUGGGGGAGCAAACAGG